rnacentral:rRNA from 1 species
GCGGUAGCACAGAGAGCUUGCUCUCGGGUGACGAGCGGCGGACGGGUGAGUAAUGUCUGGGAAACUGCCUGAUGGAGGGGGAUAACUACUGGAAACGGUAGCUAAUACCGCAUAAUGUCGCAAGACCAAAGUGGGGGACCUUCGGGCCUCAUGCCAUCAGAUGUGCCCAGAUGGGAUUAGCUUGUUGGUGGGGUAACGGCUCACCAAGGCGACGAUCCCUAGCUGGUCUGAGAGGAUGACCAGCCACACUGGAACUGAGACACGGUCCAGACUCCUACGGGAGGCAGCAGUGGGGAAUAUUGCACAAUGGGCGCAAGCCUGAUGCAGCCAUGCCGCGUGUAUGAAGAAGGCCUUCGGGUUGUAAAGUACUUUCAGCGGGGAGGAAGGGAGUAAAGUUAAUACCUUUGCUCAUUGACGUUACCCGCAAAAGAAGCACCGGCUAACUCCGUGCCAGCAGCCGCGGUAAUACGGAGGGUGCAAGCGUUAAUCAGAAUUACUGGGCGUAAAGCGCACGCAGGCUGUUUGUUAAGUC